AUCGAACGCUGGCGGCAGGCCUAAUACAUGCAAGUCGAACGAGUAGCGGACGGGUGAGUAAUGGAUGGGAAACUGCCCGAUGGAGGGGGCUAACGACGGGAAACGGUAGCUAAUACCGCAUACGAUCGGAUGGGGUGAGAUGGGUUUAGCUAGGAGGUGGGGUAACGGCUCACCUAGGCGACGAUCCCUAGCUGGUCUGAGAGGAUGAACGGCCACACUGGAACUGAGACACGGUCCAGACUCCUACGGGAGGCAGCAGUGGGGAAUAUUGGACAAUGGGCGCAAGCCUGAUGCAGCCAUGCCGCGUGUAUGAAGAAGGCCUUCGGGUUGUAAAGUACUUUCAGUGAGGAGGCGUUACUCGCAGAAGAAGCACCGGCUAACUCCGUGCCAGCAGCCGCGGUAAUUC
rnacentral:rRNA from 1 species